AUUGAACGCUGGCGGCAGGCCUAACACAUGCAAGUCGAGCGAGCGGCGGACGGGUGAGUAAUGUCUGGGAAACUGCCUGAUGGAGGGGGAUAACUACUGGACACGGUAGCUAAUACCGCAUACCAUCAGAUGUGCCCAGUUGGGAUUAGCUAGUAGGUGGGGUAACGGCUCACCUAGGCGCCGAUCCCUAGCUGGUCUGAGAGGAUGACCAGCCACACUGAAAAUGGGACACGUCCCAUACCCCAACGGCGGGCGGCGGUGGGGAUUUUUGCACAAGGGGGGCAAGCCGAAUGCAGCCAGGCCGCGUGUAUGAAGAAGGCCUUCGGGUUUUAAAGUACUUUCAGCGAGGAGGCGUUACUCGCAGAAGAAGAACCGGCUAACGCCGUGCCAGCGGCCGCGGUAAUU
rnacentral:rRNA from 1 species